GGCGUGUACCUCUCCAGGUGCUAAGUGGUGUUUAGUGGGCGUGUACCUCUCCAGGUGCUAAGUGGUGUUUAGUGGGCGUAUAUAACUCCAGGUGCUAAGUGGUGUUUAGUGGGCGUGUACCUCUCCAGGUGCUAAGUGGUGUUUAGUGGGCGUAUAUAACUCCAGGUGCUAAGUGGUGUUUAGUGGGCGUAUAUAACUCCAGGUGCUAAGUGGUGUUUAGUGGGCGUAUAUAACUCCAGGUGCUAAGUGGUGUUUAGUGGGCGUGUACCUCUCCAGGUGCUAAGUGGUGUUUAGUGGGCGUGUACCUCUCCAGGUGCAUAUUGUCACUUCUCAGCACGUUCCUGCCGCGUCACAGAG
ensembl:lncRNA